AGUGAACGCUGGCGGUAGGCCUAACACAUGCAAGUCGAACGGCAGCACAGUAAGAGCUUGCUCUUACGGGUGGCGAGUGGCGGACGGGUGAGGAAUACAUCGGAAUCUACUUUUUCGUGGGGGAUAACGUAGGGAAACUUACGCUAAUACCGCAUACGACCUACGGGUGAAAGCAGGGGAUCUUCGGACCUUGCGCGAUUGAAUGAGCCGAUGUCGGAUUAGCUAGUUGGCGGGGUAAAGGCCCACCAAGGCGACGAUCCGUAGCUGGUCUGAGAGGAUGAUCAGCCACACUUGAGCUGAGACACGGUCCAGACUCGUACGGGAGGCAGCAGUGGGGAAUAUUGGACAAGGGGCGCAAGCCUGAACCAGCCAUACCGCGUGGGUGAAGAAGGCCUUCGGGUUGUAAAGCCCUUUUGUUGGGAAAGAAAAGCAGCAGGUUAAUACCCCGCUGUUCUGACGGUACCCAAAGAAUAAGCACCGGCUAACUUCGG
rnacentral:rRNA from 1 species